rnacentral:lncRNA from 1 species
ACCCCUUUUGUCACUAACGCAACAUCAUAUUCUAAAAAUUGCCCAAUAAAGUUCCCAAAUUGUCAUGCCACCCCUUCUGACAUGAAACCCAACGACAGAUUAUGGACUUGCACCCAAUAGAUGACAUAAAUAAGAGGAACUUGCAAUUGAUCCUCUCCUUUCUCCAACUUAUGAAAAAUAAUAAGGUGCCUAUUGAAAAAACAAG